UCCCCACAUGUGAAAAUUGACAUGAAGCAACAAGUAUGUGUUUUCUUUCCCUGUUUAAAUUUCUUUUCAGAGCCUUCCUUGGUACAUGACUCCUGUCUCCUAUGAUCUUGUUUCACAGGUCACAAUCUAGUGGUCUGGUCUUAUGCAAGGUGCUGUUUCUAUAGCACUUGCUUACAACCAGCUGAAGAGGCAGGAGAAUUAUUCUUACAUGGUGGUUAUAUCUACUAAUUCUUCUCCUUCCUAUAUAAGGGUUCAGAUCAAUAUUUCUUUUGGGGGUUUUAUAAAAAGCAG